AAAAAGGGCUUCUGUCGUGAGUGGCACACGUAGGGCAGCUCGUUUGCUCUACGUGCGGAAUCGACAUCAAGAGAUUUCGGAAGCAUAAUUUUUGCUAUUGGGGCAGCUGGUGAUCGUUGGUCCUGGCGCCCCU
ensembl:snRNA